rnacentral:rRNA from 1 species
AGAGUUUGAUCAUGGCUCAGAUUGAACGCUGGCGGCAGGCCUAACACAUACAAGUCGAACGGUAACAUUUCUAGCUUGCUAGAAGAUGACGAGUGGCGGACGGGUGAGUAAUGCUUGGGAACUUGCCUUUGCGAGGGGGAUAACAGUUGGAAACGACUGCUAAUACCGCAUAACGUCUACGGACCAAACGGGGCUUAGGCUCCGGCGCAAAGAGAGGCCCAAGUGAGAUUAGCUAGUUGGUAAGGUAAUGGCUUACCAAGGCAACGAUCUCUAGCUGUUCUGAGAGGAAGAUCAGCCACACUGGAACUGAGACACGGUCCUGACUCCUACGGGAGGCAGCAGUGGGGAAUAUUGCACAAUGGGGGAAACCCUGAUGCAGCCAUGCCGCGUGUGUGAAGAAGGCCUUCGGGUUGUAAAGCACUUUCAGUUGUGAGGAAAAGUUAGUAGUUAAUACCUGCUAGCCGUGACGUUAACAACAGAAGAAGCACCGGCUAACUCCGUGCCAGCAGCCGCGGUAAUACGGAGGGUGCGAGCGUUAAUCGGAAUUACUGGGCGUAAAGCGCACGCAGGCGGUUUGUUAAGCUAGAUGUGAAAGCCCCGGGCUCAACCUGGGAUAGUCAUUUAGAACUGGCAGACUAGAGUCUUGGAGAGGGGAGUGGAAUUCCAGGUGUAGCGGUGAAAUGCGUAGAUAUCUGGAGGAACAUCAGUGGCGAAGGCGACUCCCUGGCCAAAGACUGACGCUCAUGUGCGAAAGUGUGAGUAGCGAACAGGAUUAGAUACCCUGGUAGUCCACACCGUAAACGCUGUCUACUAGCUGUUUGUGACUUUAAGUCGUGAGUA